rnacentral:tRNA from 1 species
GGUCUGACGGUUCGAUUGAAUCUGAUUUGCCCAUGGACACGUUGAGAGAGAUGUUCAACG